rnacentral:ncRNA from 1 species
ACGAGCCGGAUGAUGCGAAAGUAUCACGUUCGGUUCUGUGAGCGACCGAGAGUGAAACUCCUCGGUCGACUCGAC